UACGUAGGUGGCAAGCGUUGUCCGGAAUUACUGGGUGUAAAGGGAGCGCAGGCGGGAAGCCAAGUCAGCUGUGAAAACUACGGGCUUAACUUGUAGACUGCAGUUGAAACUGGUUUUCUUGAGUGAAGUAGAGGUUGGCGGAAUUCCGAGUGUAGCGGUGAAAUGCGUAGAUAUUCGGAGGAACACCAGUGGCGAAGGCGGCCAACUGGGCUUUAACUGACGCUGAGGCUCGAAAGUGUGGGGAGCAAACAGG
rnacentral:rRNA from 1 species